AUGGGGACGGAGCCGACGAUGCUGCAGCGGUGGUCGUCGUCGAUGUGGGGGAUGAGCGGCGGCGACCGGCUGCGGCUGUGGGAGGACAAGGCGUGGCGGGCGCACGCGGCCAUGGCCUUCACGCAGCUCGCCUACGGCGGCUACCACGUCCUCACCAAGUCCGUCCUCAACGUCGGCAUGAACCAGAUCGUCUUCUGCGUCUACCGCGACCUCGUCGCGCUCGCCCUCCUCGCCCCCGCCGCCUACUUCCGAGAGAGGAGGGUGCGGCGCCCCGUCACCCCGCAGCUGCUCGGCUCCUUCGCGCUCCUUGGAUUCACCGGGAUCUUCGGGAACCAGCUCCUCUUCCUGCUCGGCCUCGGCUUCACCAACGCCUCCUACGCCGCCGCGUUCCAGCCCGCCAUACCCGUCUUCACCUUCCUCCUCGCCGCAAUCGUCGGUGUCGAAGUCAUCCACGUCUUCACCAGAGACGGCGUCUUCAAGGUCGUCGGCACGGCCGUGUGCGUCUUCGGCGCCCUCCUCAUGGUCUUCUACCGAGGCCCCUCCCUGAUCGGCCUCGGAGGCGCCAAUGCGCUGGCCGGCGCCGACGCGUCAUGGAGCGGCAGUUCCUAUCCUGCUCAGUGGCUGACGCCAGCCGUGCUCCAGUUCAGUUUUGGAACCUGGAACCUUGGUGUCCUGUGCCUCUUAGGCAACUGCUUCCUCAUGGGGGCUUAUCUUGUCAUACAGGCCCCGGUGUUAGUAAAAUAUCCUGCGAGCUUAUCCUUGACAGCCUACUCUUACUCAUUUGCCACCAUCUUCAUGGUGUUGACUGGGGUUUUUGCAACCAACGGGCUCCAUGAGUGGGCGCUGACAGGGACAGAAAUCAUAGCCGUUCUAUAUGCUGGAGUUGUUGCGUCUUGUCUCAACUACGCAAUCAUGACUUGGGCGAACAAAAUUCUUGGACCAUCUCUGGUCGCCCUCUACAAUCCGCUCCAACCAGCAUGCUCUACCAUCCUCUCAACUAUUUUUCUUGGUACCCCAAUCUAUCUAGGAAGCCUCAUUGGAGGAGUCUUCAUCAUUGCUGGUCUAUACCUGGUUACUUGGGCCCGUUACAAUGAGGCGCAGAGAAUACUGAUGUCUGGUUAUCUGAAUCCUCUUCUUGUGGAGGUGGAGGAUGCGCCAGCUCCCAAGAGACAGGAAAAUUCCAGCUCAAUUGAUCCCUGA
rnacentral:rRNA from 1 species